GGUUUGGCACCUCGAUGUCGGCUCGUCGCAUCCUGGGGCUGGAGUAGGUCCCAAGGGUUGGGCUGUUCGCCCAUUAAAGCGGUACGCGAGCUGGGUUUAGAACGUCGUGAGACAGUUCGGUCCCUAUCCGCCGCGCGCGUAAGAGACUUGCGAAGAGCUGUCCCUAGUACGAGAGGACCGGGACGGACGAACCUCUGGUGUGCCAGUUGUACCGCCAGGUGCACUGCUGGUUGGCUACGUUCGGCAGGGAUAACCGCUGAAAGCAUCUAAGCGGGAAGCUCGCUUCAAGAUGAGGUCUCUCACCGGGACAACCGGGUAAGGCCCCCGCCCAGACCAGCGGGUUGAUAGGCCGGAAGUGGAAGCGCAGCAAUGCGUGGAGCUGACCGGUACUAAUAGGCCGAGGGCUUGACCAU
rnacentral:rRNA from 1 species